GCAGCCUGAUAAAUGCUUAAUUAUAACUCUAUUUCUAUCCAGAAUUCUUGUUAACCCUGUGAGGACAGCUUUAGGAACACCUGGAAAACACGGUCUCAUAGUAAAAUGUUGGACAUAGAUAUCUUUAUGAUAGCACUGAGGUUGAAUAUGUCAUUUUUAUGAUUUAACUAUUUAUUAAACUUUUUUUUUUUUUUUUUUUUUUUUUGUGAGCAGACACUGUCUUAGGACCUGGGCACACAUUGAUUAAGAAAACAGAGGAGAUUCUUUCCUCCUUGUCUUCUUGGAGCUUCUUGCCCAGUGGAGAAGAAAGAUAUUGAAAAGGGAAAGAAAAGCAAUAGCAGGAUGAAGACUGAUGAAAAAGGAAUUGAUGAAGAAAGUUGUUGAAAAAGGAAUUUCUGAUAAAGGCCACACUCCUUUAGGGGCACCACAUAAGAAGUCUGGUGACCCUGAAGCUGCCAUGCUGGAAAGACCAGAAGGAAAGAGCAUACAGAGAUGCAGGGAGAUGCCUGAGGAGCCCUAGUGGUUCCAGCUGCCAGAUCUUCCAGUCCUUUCAGCCCAGAUGCAUAAGUGAAGAAGUCUUUGAGAGGACCCAGGCACAGUCUCCACUUAUUGCAACCUCCCAAGGGACCGUGAGUUAGAACUGCCCAGUGGAGCUGCUCCCAAGUUUUUGAGAAUUUAAAAACUAUUGUUGUUUUAGACCACUGAGAUUCAGAAUGAUUGUCACAUAGCUGUAGUGAUAAUAACAUAGUGUUAUUAUUAUUUCCACUUCACUGUUAAAAACCUCGAGAUUCAGAGGCUGACUGAUCUUCAUCAAGUGGCAGGGUUGAAUUGUGCAUGCUUGUGUUUGGCUCUAACUCCUGUGUUACUUCUGCUCCUCUCUGCUAUGGGUUAAAGUAUGGUCACGCACUCAAUUUAGAUCUCCUUUUUUGAUUUUUAAGGAUCCAGUUAAAUAUGCCUGGAGUGAUGACUUCUUUCCUUCUAGAUUCCUAGGAUUCUGGUUCACCCCACCCCUCUACCUGCACCACAGCUAUUGAAGUCACUGUUGCUCUGCUCUGUGAGCACUCAUCUCUCAGGGUUUGCUUCUUACAAUAUUAUUUUUGGCUCACCCAUGUCUCUGGCUUUAAUCAAG
rnacentral:lncRNA from 1 species